rnacentral:rRNA from 1 species
GGUUAAGCGACUAAGCGUACACGGUGGAUGCCCUGGCAGUCAGAGGCGAUGAAGGACGUGCUAAUCUGCGAUAAGCGCCGGUAAGGUGAUAUGAACCGUUAUAACCGGCGAUUUCCGAAUGGGGAAACCCAGUGUGAUUCGUCACACUAUCAUUAACUGAAUCCAUAGGUUAAUGAGGCGAACCGGGGGAACUGAAACAUCUAAGUACCCCGAGGAAAAGAAAUCAACCGAGAUUCCCCCAGUAGCGGCGAGCGAACGGGGAGGAGCCCAGAGCCUGAAUCAGCAUGUGUGUUAGUGGAAGCGUCUGGAAAGGCGCGCGAUACAGGGUGACAGCCCCGUACACAAAAGCGCAUGUGCUGUGAGCUCGAUGAGUAGGGCGGGACACGUGGUAUCCUGUCUGAAUAUGGGGGGACCAUCCUCCAAGGCUAAAUACUCCUGACUGACCGAUAGUGAACCAGUACCGUGAGGGAAAGGCGAAAAGAACCCCGGCGAGGGGAGUGAAAAAGAACCUGAAACCGUGUACGUACAAGCAGUGGGAGCACCCUUUUGGGUGUGACUGCGUACCUUUUGUAUAAUGGGUCAGCGACUUAUAUUCUGUAGCAAGGUUAACCGCAUAGGGGAGCCGGAGGGAAACCGAGUCUUAAUUGGGCGUUAAGUUGCAGGGUAUAGACCCGAAACCCGGUGAUCUAGCCAUGGGCAGGUUGAAGGUUGGGUAACACUAACUGGAGGACCGAACCGACUAAUGUUGAAAAAUUAGCGGAUGACCUGUGGCUGGGGGUGAAAGGCCAAUCAAACCGGGAGAUAGCUGGUUCUCCCCGAAAGCUAUUUAGGUAGCGCCUCGUGAAUUCAUCUCCGGGGGUAGAGCACUGUUUCGGCUAGGGGGCCAUCCCGGCUUACCAACCCGAUGCAAACUGCGAAUACCGGAGAAUGUUAUCACGGGAGACACACGGCGGGUGCUAACGUCCGUCGUGAAGAGGGAAACAACCCAGACCGCCAGCUAAGGUCCCAAAGUCAUGGUUAAGUGGGAAACGAUGUGGGAAGGCCCAGACAGCCAGGAUGUUGGCUUAGAAGCAGCCAUCAUUUAAAGAAAGCGUAAUAGCUCACUGGUCGAGUCGGCCUGCGCGGAAGAUGUAACGGGGCUAAACCAUGCACCGAAGCUGCGGCAGCGACGCUUAUGCGUUGUUGGGUAGGGGAGCGUUCUGUAAGCCUGCGAAGGUGGCCUGUGAGGGUUGCUGGAGGUAUCAGAAGUGCGAAUGCUGACAUAAGUAACGAUAAAGCGGGUGAAAAGCCCGCUCGCCGGAAGACCAAGGGUUCCUGUCCAACGUUAAUCGGGGCAGGGUGAGUCGACCCCUAAGGCGAGGCCGAAAGGCGUAGUCGAUGGGAAACGGGUUAAUAUUCCCGUACUUGGUGUUACUGCGAAGGGGGGACGGAGAAGGCUAUGUUGGCCGGGCGACGGUUGUCCCGGUUUAAGCGUGUAGGUGUGUGUUCCAGGUAAAUCCGGUUCACUUUAACACUGAGGCGUGACGACGAGGCACUACGGUGCUGAAGCAACAAAUGCCCUGCUUCCAGGAAAAGCCUCUAAGCAUCAGGUAACAUCAAAUCGUACCCCAAACCGACACAGGUGGUCAGGUAGAGAAUACCAAGGCGCUUGAGAGAACUCGGGUGAAGGAACUAGGCAAAAUGGUGCCGUAACUUCGGGAGAAGGCACGCUGACACGUAGGUGAAGUGAUUUACUCA